UCAUUUAUUUAAUAUGUACAGGAGCUACAGUUUAUAAUGGAAAACCCUACAUCCACAACCCAACUGACAACAAGUGCUACUAUGGUAGUCUUGAACCUUUAGCUACCUGGGAUAUACCUGGGAUGUUUUGUUUUAUAAUACAUACAAAGAGAACACGUUCACAAAUAAAAUAGAAGAUGGGCCCAAAUGCCUAGUAUCCGUAAAUUUCUUUUCUGUGAAGGUCCUAUCAAUUGGAUGUCAAUGUAUGAACUUCUUCUUCUGUAAAUAUAGUUUUGAUAAUGGAAUAAUUGUUGAUUUUGACAGUUUUUACUUAAAUCUUGAUCCAGAGUAAAUAUAUUUUAAAUCAAAUAAAUUAUAAAGGCAA